ACGGGUGAGUAACGCGUGGGAACGUGCCCUUCGGUUCGGAAUAACUCAGGGAAACUUGAGCUAAUACCGGAUACGCCCUUAUGGGGAAAGGUUUACUGCCGAAGGAUCGGCCCGCGUCUGAUUAGCUAGUUGGUGAGGUUACGGCUCACCAAGGCGACGAUCAGUAGCUGGUCUGAGAGGAUGAUCAGCCACACUGGGACUGAGACACGGCCCAGACUCCUACGGGAGGCAGCAGUGGGGAAUAUUGGACAAUGGGGGCAACCCUGAUCCAGCCAUGCCGCGUGAGUGAUGACGGCCUUAGGGUUGUAAAGCUCUUUUCUCCGGGACGAUAAUGACGGUACCGGAGGAAUAAGCCCCGGCUAACUUCGUGCCAGCAGCCGCGGUAAUACGAAGGGGGCUAGCGUUGCUCGGAAUCACUGGGCGUAAAGGGCGCGUAGGCGGCUGAUUUAGUCGAGGGUGAAAGCCCGUGGCUCAACCACGGAAUGGCCUUCGAUACUGAUUGGCUUGAGACCGGAAGAGGACAGCGGAACUGCGAGUGUAGAGGUGAAAUUCGUAGA
rnacentral:rRNA from 1 species